rnacentral:lncRNA from 1 species
UUUUUCUUUAAUCAGAUUUUGAAAUUUAAUUAGUCUAAACAUGUAAUGAAUUUUUCAAUCGAAUUUUGAUAGUUAAUAAUAUUCCAAAUCAAAUUUCGAAAUUCACUAAUUUUCUAAACCAAAAUUCUAAAUCUGAUUUGUUUCCUAAAAGAUUCAAAAUCCAGUACAUGGCAAAUAUAAUUAUAUCAAAUGAAAUAAAAAUAAAAUUUCAAACCAAAACACUUAUACAUGAGAUGAAAUGAAUAACAAAAAAGACCAUAUAAAACUUACCACCACAAUAUUGAAAACCACGAGCAGGAGAGCGAGAGAAGAAGAACAUUGAUGAAGGAGUGAACUUGGAAUAGAAGAGGUUGAAGUAAAUACAAUUUGAUAAACAGUAAUUAUUGCUUCUCUAAGGUGCGAGGAUAAACAUCCUCUAACAUCAUCCCAUGUUAAUCAAUUGUUUGCGUUCUUCUGAGUAACUAGUAUUAGAAAAAUGCUUGUGUCAACUAUGAAGCUCAUUGGGCUUUUGUGAAGCCCAAAUUAUUAGACCCAACAAGUUUAGCUAAUGCAGGCAGCCAUUUCCUUGUACAGGCCAAAAAAUGAAAAAAAAUUUGUCCCAGCCAUUUACUACUGCACCUCCAUCUUUUCUUUCUUGCAGCACCC